CCAAGAUGUGUUGGGGAUACUGUAUUUUGGCUAAUCAUUAUUUAGAUUGGCUUGAUAUGCUAGUUUACCUAUAGAUACAUAUUAUCAGUAGUGGUAUGAUCCACUACCUAUGGGCAAGUGCACAUACACACUCAUCUUUGAUCGACAUGUAUUUAUAAUGAUGUGUGUGUAUUUUCAUUUGGUAAUUUGCCUGUAACUUAGUUGCCACUUCCACAUUAUGUCACAUGUGUUUAUUCUGUAUAUCUAUUUUGUAUAUUUUGUAGGUUUAUUAUUAUUUGCUUCAUGAUCCCCUAUUUGCUCUCUGAAUACUGCUACCUGUUCAUAUACAAGGCCGCCAUUGAUAUUCCCUGCUACACUGUUACCAUUCAGCGCUU